UACAUUUAACUAGUCUUUGUUUGUUACCUAUUAAAAAAAAACUAGUCUUCGUUUGUCUUAAUUGCUCCCCUUAUAGUACAUGUGAAAACCUUUAUGUGGCCAUGCCAACCUUGUGCAGUGCCAUCUGUGUUCCUGCAUGUGCUUAAUUUUUCUUUUUUCACUGAUGUCUCAGGGCUUGCCAUUUUUCAUAUCAUCUUUGUUGCUGAUAAGUUUUGAACCAACAAAUGGGUUGAAUUUUCUCUAGGUAUUUCACACCUUAGUUCCAUUUGGCUUUUGAUGAUAUAGAGCUUCUUGAGAAGAUUGGCAUCAUGGAGUGAUAAAAAGGAUAUUGUCUCAAAGAGUGUGAGUUGAUUUUGAUCAUGGAGAUAUCCCAACUUAAACAUUCCUAGGGUAAUUUCUUUGAGAAGGAGCCAAGUGACUAUGUUUUUUUCUGAACUUCUUGGAAGUAAAUGCGGAGACUUGAGAGCAACAAAAUAAUUUUCAGAGAUCAGUAGUUGCUGUUAUCAUGUAUCAGGUUCAAGGUAAAUCUAGAAAAAGUUAGGAGCAUGAAUGAUUCUUUGUGGUACGUGUGUGUUUUGUUUUUCUUCCUUUGAUGAAUUUUAUAUAAUCAACUGGCCUGUGAGGAGAUUCUGCAGGGCUUAGUAUUGAGAAAUCCAAGUAAGUGUGAGUUUUGUGGGGACUUAGUGUUUUUAUGUGCAGAUGUUCCAUGUGGGUGGUCUAGGUCUUCUUUGAGGUGGUGAAAGGCAAAGUAGUCUUAGCUGCAGAGGUCAGAUGGUAGCAUUCUUGUUGCUCAGUUGAGCAAAAUAUUGGAAAGUGGAUGAACAACAAAUGUGUUGUGUCCAAGAUGGAUGUGGAGGGUGUGAGCCUUUCUCUUGUCAGUUUGGAGUUAAUUUUCUAUCUUGAUUUGUUGUUGUUUGGUUUAUGCUGAAGUGUGUUGUUGCCUUGCCAGAGGCAAUAGUAUUGUGAGAAUCCAACUCUUCUUUAGUAUUUGGGAGGAGAAAAUUAACAAA